rnacentral:rRNA from 1 species
UACGGGGGGGGCAAGCGUUGUUCGGAAUUACUGGGCGUAAAGGGCUCGUAGGCGGCCAACUAAGUCAGACGUGAAAUCCCCAGGCUUAACCUGGGAACUGCGUCUGAUACUGGAUGGCUUGAAUUCGGGAGAGGGAUGCAGAAUUCCAGGUGUAGCGGUGAAAUGCGUAGAUAUUGGGAGGAACACCAGUGGCGAAGGCGGCUCACUGGACCGGAACUGACGCUGAGGCGCGAAAGCGUGGGGAGCAAACAGG